CCUACGGGAGGCAGCAGUAAGGAAUAUUGGUCAAUGGACGAAAGUCUGAACCAGCCAUGCCGCGUGGAGGAUGAAGGUCCUCUGGAUUGUAAACUUCUUUUAUAUGGGACGAAAAAAGGGUUUUCUAAGUCGUCUGACGGUACCAUAUGAAUAAGCACCGGCUAACUCCGUGCCAGCAGCCGCGGUAAU
rnacentral:rRNA from 1 species